UACGAAGGGGGCUAGCGUUGCUCGGAAUCACUGGCGUAAAGCGCACGUAGGCGGAUUGCUAAGUCAGGGUGAAAUCCUGGAGCUCAACUCCAGAACUGCCUUUGAUAUGGCGAUCUCGAGUCCGGGAGAGGUGAGUGGAACUGCGAGUGUAGAGGUGAAAUUCGUAGAUAUUCGCAAGAACACCAGUGGCGAAGGCGGCUCACUGGCCCGGUACUGACGCUGAGGUGCGAAAGCGUGGGA
rnacentral:rRNA from 1 species